UGGUUCAGUGGUAGAAUUCUUGUCUGCUACACAGGAGACCUGGGUUUAAUUCCCAG
rnacentral:tRNA from 1 species